UACGUAGGGGGCAAGCGUUGUCCGGAUUUAUUGGGCGUAAAGAGCGUGUAGGCGGCCUUACAGGUCAGCUGUGAAAACUCGAGGCUCAACCUCGAGACGUCGGUUGAAACCGUAAGGCUAGAGUCCGGAAGAGGAGAGUGGAAUUCCCGGUGUAGCGGUGAAAUGCGCAGAUAUCGGGGAAGAACACCCGUGGCGAAGGCGGCUCUCUGGGACGGUACUGACGCGUGAGACGCGAAAGCGUGGGGAGCGAACAGG
rnacentral:rRNA from 1 species